rnacentral:rRNA from 1 species
AAUGAACGCUGGCGGCAGGCCUAACACAUGCAAGUCGAACGGUAACACGAGGCGCCUUGCUGUUUCGCUGCCGCGUGGGGGGGGUGUGAGUCAUGUGUGUGAAACACCUUUAUGACGGGGGUUACCUCCUGGAACCGGUGCUUAAUACCGCAUAUCUACGCAAGCGCAAGGAGCAGGAGCUUCAGGCGGCUUGCCAUCGGCUGAUCGCAGAUGGGAUUAGCUAGUAGGUGGGGUAACGGCUCACCUAGGCGACGAUCCGUAGCUGGUCUGAGAGGCUGAUCAGCCACACUGGAACUGAGACACGGUCCAGACUCCUACGGGAGGCAGCAGUGGGGAAUCUUGCGCAAUGGGCGAAAGCCUGACGGAGCAAUGCCGCGUGAAUGAUGAAGGCCUUCGGAUUGUAAAGUUCUGUUAGUGGGGAAGAAGGAAUGUGUAAUUAACUAUGCGCGUAUUGACGGUACCUGAAGAAAAAGCACCGGCUAACUCCGUG